rnacentral:rRNA from 1 species
CAGUAGCCGCGGUAAUACAGAGGGUGCGAGCGUUAAUCGGAUUUACUGGGCGUAAAGCGUGUGUAGGCGGCUUUUUAAGUCGGAUGUGAAAUCCCUGAGCUUAACUUAGGAAUUGCAUUCGAUACUGGGAAGCUAGAGUAUGGGAGAGGAUGGUAGAAUUCCAGGUGUAGCGGUGAAAUGCGUAGAGAUCUGGAGGAAUACCGAUGGCGAAGGCAGCCAUCUGGCCUAAUACUGACGCUGAGGUACGAAAGCAUGGGGAGCAAACAGGAUUAGAUACCCCAGUAGUCCCUGUCUCUUAUAC